GACGAACGCUGGCGGCGUGCCUAAUACAUGCCAGUUGAGCGAUGAAGCUUGGUGCUUGCACCAAUUUGAAGAGCAGCGAACGGGUGAGUAACGCGUGGGGAAUCUGCCUUUGAGCGGGGGACAACAUUUGGAAACGAAUGCUAAUACCGCAUAACAACUUUAAACAUAAGUUUUAAGUUUGAAAGAUGCAAUUGCAUCACUCAAAGAUGAUCCCGCGUUGUAUUAGCUAGUUGGUGAGGUAAAGGCUCACCAAGGCGAUGAUACAUAGCCGACCUGAGAGGGUGAUCGGCCACAUUGGGACUGAGACACGGCCCAAACCCCUACGGGAGGCAGCAGUAGGGAAUCUUCGGCAAUGGACGAAAGUCUGACCGAGCAACGCCGCGUGAGUGAAGAAGGUUUUCGGAUCGUAAAACUCUGUUGGUAGAGAAGAACGUUGGUGAGAGUGGAAAGCUCAUCAAGUGACGGUAACUACCCAGAAAGGGACGGCUAACUACGUG
rnacentral:rRNA from 1 species